rnacentral:rRNA from 1 species
UACGUAGGAUCCAAGCGUUGUCCGGAAUUACUGGGCAUAAAGGGAGCGUAGGCGGAUUUGUGCGUCAGAGGUGAAAUCCCACAGCUUAACUGUGGAACUGCCUUUGAUACGGCAAAUCUUGAGUGUGAGAGAGGCGAGUAGAAUUCUAGGUGUAGCGGUGAAAUGCGUAGAUAUCUGGAGGAAUACCAGUGGUGAAGACGGCUCGCUGGCUCAUAACUGACGCUGAGGCUCGAAAGCGUGGGGAUCAAACAGG